GUCUGGAGGAUCUGCAGCUAGACAUGCCUUAGAGGAUGUUAGUGAGUUAAGGUAGUAGAGUCUGUCUGAUUCAAGUCCAGUUCCAAUCGUCUGUCCCGUACUGCAGUCCUGCAUAAUAAAAGAGUCAUCAAUAAAAUAAAUUCCGCAAUGGAGGGCACGAGUCAAACGACUCACAGAUGCAAGAUUAAAAGGACAGUCAGG
rnacentral:lncRNA from 1 species